GGUACCCCGUGCGUGGUGAAGUCCACAGCAGCAUGUCAGGAAGAGAUGGGAAAUAAGGGUUCCAAGAGUCAGCAGGAUGGUGUCAGGUCUCCAUUCCUGGAGACCCCAGGAUUGUGCCUAAAGAUAGUCCUUUGGGAAGAAUGAUAAGGAAUUGGAAAAACAACCCAAAAACUAGGGAAAAAGA